UACGUAGGGCGCAAGUGUUAUCCGGAAUUAUUGGGCGUAAAGAGCUCGUAGGCGGUUUGUCGCGUCUGCCGUGAAAGUCCGGGGCUCAACUCCGGAUCUGCGGUGGGUACGGGCAGACUAGAGUGAUGUAGGGGAGACUGGAAUUCCAGGUGUAGCGGUGAAAUGCGUAGAUAUCUGGAGGAACACCGGUGGCGAAGGCGACAUCCUGGACCGGUAUUGACGCUGAGGCGCGAAAGCCAGGGGAGCAAACGGG
rnacentral:rRNA from 1 species